UGGGAAACUUACAAAGCUUAAAUGCGUGGCU
rnacentral:piRNA from 1 species